rnacentral:rRNA from 1 species
GGGCCCGCACAAGCAGCGGAGCGUGUGGUUUAAUUCGAUGCAACGCGAAGAACCUUACCCAGACUUGACAUGCACGGGAAAGCCGGGGAAACUCGGCCCCCUUCGGGUCCGUGCACAGAUGUUGCAUGGCUGUCGUCAGCUCGUGUCGUGAGAUGUUGGGUUAAGUCCCGCAACGAGCGCAACCCUCGUGUGCUGUUGCCAAUCAGCACAGACUGCCGGUACAAGCCGGAGGAAGGUGGGGAUGAUGUCAAGUCCGCAUGGCUCCUACGUCUGGGGCUACACACACGCUACAAUGGCCGGGACAGAGGGAAGCCACGGGGCGACCCGGAGCGGAUCCCAAAACCCGGUCUCAGUUCGGAUGGUAGGCUGCAACUCGCCUGCCUGAAGUCGGAGUUGCUAGUAACCGCGUGUCAGCAUAGCGCGGUGAAUAUGUUCCCGGGCCUU